CUCCACCGCGCCGCCCGGUCAAAGGCGCACAGCUGCACGAUCGCGUUAAAAGCCCAAAACCUUUAAUGAUCCUUCCGUAGGUGAACCUGCGGAAGGAUCAUUAAAGAUUUUGGGCUUUUAACCCGAUCGUUCAGCUGUGCGCCUUUUACCGGGCUGCACGCUGGAGCAAGACCCCACACCUGUGCACCUUUUCGGUUGCGGCUUCGGUGGCUGCCGCUUUUAAAUGCAACAACUCAGUCUCGAAUGUUAACAAAACCAUAAAAAGUAACAACUUUCAACAACGGAUCUCUUGGCUCUCGCAUCGAUGAAGAACGCAGGGAAAUGCGAUAAGUAAUGUGAAUUGCAGAAUUCAGUGAAUCAUCGAAUCUUUGAACGCAUCUUGCGCUCCUUGGUAUUCCAUGGAGCAUGCCUGUUUGAGUGUCACGUAAACCCUCACCCCUGCGAUGUAACAGUCGCUCGCGGUGGACUUGGACUGUGCCGUAACCGGCUCGUCUUGAAAUGCAUUAGCUGGCGCUUUUAGAGUGCUGGGCGACGGUGUGAUAAUUAUUUGCGCCAAUGCCUUAGGCCUCUUCAGCGGUGCUGCUUACAGCCGUCCCUUUGUGGACACAUUUUUUAAAGCUUUGGCCUCAAAUCAGGUAGAGCAGCUACCCGCUGAACUUAAGCAUAUCAAUAAGCGGAGGAAAUCCUUAAAGAUUUUGGGCUUUUAACCCGAUCGUUCACUGUGCGCCUUUUACCGGGCUGCACGCUGGAGCAAGACCCACACCUGUGCACCUUUUCGGGUGCGGCUUCGGUCGCUGCCGCUUUUAAAUGCACAACUCAGUCUCUAAUGUUCACAAAACAUAAAAAGUAACAACUUUCACAACGGAUCUCUUGGCU
rnacentral:rRNA from 1 species